CUGGGGUAAAAGCUGAUCCUUGGCAAGGGUCAGGGAUAAAUGUCCCUGCCUGGCAGAGCACGUCCGUGAGGAGGAUUCAAGUUCCUCCUGGGAAGCCGUGGCAGAGCUACAAUCCCAGAGGAGCUGCCGGGCAACACCUCGUUAUCACUUUGUGGUGACAGUGAUAACUCACAGCCAAAACACAAACCACCUCCCAAGGGACGAUCUGCAGCCAUUCCCCAGCAGGUAUCCCAGCUGCACCCUCGGGACCUGACACGGGGAUUUGCCUGGAGUAGGGACAGAAUGCUGCUAGCAGGGAGUUUAUUUCCAUUAACAAUUGUAAUUGGGGCGAGGCAAAGGGCACGAGGGGAGUUCCUGAGGAUAAUCUAUGUGAUUGUAUUGGCAAUUUGGUGACAAACACAAUCAAAUCCUUGGGCACAUCAAGGCAGCAGAGCUUUUUCUCCUGCUUUCUACUCAGCAGCCUCUUCUUUCCCUGCAGGAUUGACCUCCCUCCAUCCCACAAACCUGCCCCUCCACCAAAGAGGAAACAGGACAUGAAAAGCCACCUGACUCCAGAAGACAUCCAGGUUGUUCACUUGGACAACAUGAAACACGAGGAGGAGAUCCAGAAGUUCCCUCUGCAGACUCCCUACUACGACAUGGCAGCCCCUGAGCCCUCUCCCUACAGUGACAAACUGGUAAGGGGCACAGGGUGACAGUGGCACUGCCUGGCACCUCAGCCCAGCCUCACCUGGCACACAGGAC
rnacentral:lncRNA from 1 species